UCCCAAGUGGUCCAGUGGUUAGGACUCUGCCCUUCCACUGCAAAGGGCACAGGUGCAAUCCCUGGUUGGGGAA
rfam:TPA: Bos taurus chromosome 16, whole genome shotgun sequence.